GGGCGCUUAGCUUAACAGGCAGAGCACUUGGCUCUUAACCAGGAGAUGGUGGUUCGAUCCCACCAGCGCCUA
rnacentral:tRNA from 1 species